rnacentral:tRNA from 1 species
GAGGGUAUAGCUCGGGGGUAGAGUGUGUGCCUAGCAUGCACGAGGUCCUGGGUUCAAUCCCCAGUACCCUCA